UACGUAGGUGGCAAGCGUUUGUCCGGAUUUACUGGGCGUAAAGAGCGCGCAGGCGGCCAAGUCAGUCGAAUGUGAAAGCCCCCGGCUUAACUGGGGAGGGUCAUUCGAUACUGCUCGGCUCGAAGACAGGAGAGGGAAGCGGAAUUCCCGGUGUAGUGGUGAAAUGCGUAGAUAUUCGGAAGAACACCAGUGGCGAAGGCGGCCAACUGGUCCGGCACUGACGCUGAGGUGCGAAAAGCGUGGGGAGCAAACAGGG
rnacentral:rRNA from 1 species